rfam:Danio rerio chromosome 7, GRCz11 reference primary assembly.
GCUCCAGUGGCGCAAUCGGUCAGCGCGCGGUACUUAUAAGACAGUACAAUGCUUAGCAAUGCCGAGGUUGUGAGUUCGAGCCUCACCUGGAGCA